rnacentral:lncRNA from 1 species
AUCCAAGUUACCUAAAAGGCUAAUUCCUAAUGAGAAGGAAAGGAAACAUACCAUAAAGUAAAAGUGCAAACAAUUGCAAAACAGAGGCAAACAGUGUCAGUUGGAUAUACGUAAGCGCUGAUGUAAAGAGAGAUUGGAAAUGAUAUAUCUGGCUGGGCAGGUCACUCAUGCCUGUAAUCCCAGCACUUUGGGAGGCUGAGGCAGGCAGAUCACCUAAGGCCAGGAAUUCGACACCAGCCUGGCCAACGUGGCAAAACCCGUCUCUACUAAAAAUACAAAAAUUAGCCGGGCGUGGUGGUGUGCGCCUGGAAUCCCAGCUACCCAGGAGGCUGAGGCAGGAGAAAUGCUGGAACCCGGGAGGCAGAGGCUGCAGUGAGCUGAGAUCAUGCCACUACUGCACUCCAGCCUGGGUGACACAGCAAGACUCCCUCUAAAAAAAGAAAAAAAGAAAAGAAAAGAAAAGAAAAUGAUAUAUCCAUGAUGAAUUAAAAUGGAGUGGAACCCACUGAUGGGAAAGCCACAGAAGGUACCAGUUAUCCACUCACUGACUUAGGUGCCUCCACUAGAAUUCUCAGCACGUUUUUGCAGAAGUAAGUUAUCUUCACUAUUGCUCUAACACUUCUUAGUCUCCUUUUUCUUUCUUUUCUUUUUUUUUAGACAAAGGAAAAGUAAACCGCUGGUUUAGAGUCUUUGGAAGGCAAUUGUAUCUGACUAGAAUUUAAUAUUAUUGUUUUUCUUUCAUUGUAUUGCAUUUAUCUGUAUGGCUAGUUAAACUGAUUUUCCAUUUAAAAGUAGUAAUGCAUUUUUUUAUAAUUACAUUGUUUUAAGUAAACAAGAAUUAUUCAAAGGACAAAAACACUAGCACAGAUGGCAUUCAAUGAUUGCAGAUAUCAUAAAGAUAGUUCAUGAAUGACAAAGAUUUGAGAAGUACUGUGUUCACGAUGCUUCCUGGAAGAGGUGGGUUAUACAGUGUUUCUUAGAGAAAGGGAUAGGGGUCUACUGCUAGGAGGGAAAGAUGAAGCUACUUAGGGGGACUAGGAAACACGCAGUUGGCCUGCCCUCUGCUUGGAGAUCACAGCCAAGGAAACACAGGAGAGGCACCCCCUGGAGGAGCUCCGUGGGCUGCAGGGCUGACGUGGCCCAGGUAAGUGGGAGUUCAGGGAGGCCCACAGGUUGGUGCUAGGAUAGUGGCAGAUGAUUUUCAUUGUCAGACUGUGAGACAAAAGGUAGACAUAAGGGAGGCAGAGGUGAAAUCGGGAUGGUUAAAACAGAGAAUGCUGAGAGCAGAGCAAGGCAGUUGCUAAAGCUGUUACUAAAACUGGACAGCAGAAGGCCUGGCGUGGUGGCUCACAGCUGUAAUCCCAGCACUUUGGGAGGCCUAGGUGGGUGGAUCAUCAGAGGUCAGGAGUUAGAGACUAGCCUGACCAACAUGGUGAAACCCCAUCUCUACUAAAAAUACAAAGUUAGCCAGGCAUGGUGGCCCAUGCCUGUAAUCCCAGCUACUCGGGAGGCUGAGGCAGGAGAAUUGCUUGAAUUUGGGAGGUGGAGGUUGCGGUGAGCUGAGAUCGCACCAUUGCUCUCCAGCCUGGGCAACAAGAGCGAAACCCCAUCUCAAAACCACAACAACAACAACAGGACAACAGAGAUGGACGACGGAUCGGGAAAGCCAACCAGACAGCGUGAGGCCAGGACGGAAAGAGGCACAGGGAGCUCUGCUCAGUGUCGCUACAGGGGAUCUCUCAGGCUCACAACGGGCCACUCCUCUAGGGAAGUUCUGGUCUCAUCAUGAUCCUUGUUUGGUCUCACUCCCCAUGUCCUUCUCUGUCCCUCCUCCAACUGCCAUUUAUUUAUUUAACUGAAAAAGUACCAAUCACCCACAUAGGCAUGACAUACUCAUCCAUGUACCCAUUUCUUAAAAUUGAUCAUUGUUAACAUUUGGUGUAAUUUGCUUUAUUUAUUUUUAAUGAAAUAAAUAAAACUUUACAGAAAAUGCUUUAUUUUUCUCUUUGUUCCCUCCCCAUCCUAUAUUUUUCUCCUAAAAAACCCUAUUAUCAGAAAUAUUAGUGUGUAUUCCCAGUUUCGACUUUUUAUUUUAUUACACACACACUCCCACACAUAGCUGUGACAAUGAACUUCACAUAGUAUGGUUCUGUAUUUUCUCUUUGUUUUUCAAACUUACAUAAGUAUUUUACUAUUUCUCAUGGAAAAACUCACUUUUCCCAUCCAACGUUAUGUUUCCUUAAGAUCUCUCUAUGUUGAUAUAAAGAAAUCUAGCUCAUUCUUUUUAAUGAAAAUAAAGUAUAUUUUAUGAAUGUAACUCAUGCUAACCAUGGCAAUAAAAGCUCCAUCAAGCAUGCAU